rnacentral:rRNA from 1 species
ACUCCUACGGGAGGCAGCAGUAGGGAAUCUUCCGCAAUGGGCGCAAGCCUGAUGGAGCAACACCGCGUGAGUGAAGAAGGGUUUCGGCUCGUAAAGCUCUGUUGUUAAAGAAGAACACGUAUGAGAGUAACUGUUCAUACGUUGACGGUAUUUAACCAGAAAGUCACGGCUAACUACGUGCCAGCAGCCGCGGUAAUACGUAGGUGGCAAGCGUUAUCCGGAUUUAUUGGGCGUAAAGAGAGUGCAGGCGGUUUUCUAAGUCUGAUGUGAAAGCCUUCGGCUUAACCGGAGAAGUGCAUCGGAAACUGGAUAACUUGAGUGCAGAAGAGGGUAGUGGAACUCCAUGUGUAGCGGUGGAAUGCGUAGAUAUAUGGAAGAACACCAGUGGCGAAGGCGGCUACCUGGUCUGCAACUGACGCUGAGACUCGAAAGCAUGGGUAGCGAACAGGAUUAGAUACCCUGGUAGGAUAGCG